GGGUUGUGAGGUUAAGCGACUAAGCGUACACGGUGGAUGCCCUGGCAGUCAGAGGCGAUGAAGGACGUGCUAAUCUGCGAUAAGCGUCGGUGAGGUGAUAUGAACCGUUAUAACCGGCGAUUUCCGAAUGGGGAAACCCAGUGUGUUUCGACACACUAUCAUUAACUGAAUCCAUAGGUUAAUGAGGCGAACCGGGGGAACUGAAACAUCUAAGUACCCCGAGGAAAAGAAAUCAACCGAGAUUCCCCCAGUAGCGGCGAGCGAACGGGGAGGAGCCCAGAGCCUGAAUCAGUGUGUGUGUUAGUGGAAGCGUCUGGAAAGGCGUGCGAUACAGGGUGACAGCCCCGUACACAAAAAUGCACAUAUUGUGAGCUCGAUGAGUAGGGCGGGACACGUGGUAUCCUGUCUGAAUAUGGGGGGACCAUCCUCCAAGGCUAAAUACUCCUGACUGACCGAUAGUGAACCAGUACCGUGAGGGAAAGGCGAAAAGAACCCCGGCGAGGGGAGUGAAAAAGAACCUGAAACCGUGUACGUACAAGCAGUGGGAGCCUCUUAAUGGGGUGACUGCGUACCUUUUGUAUAAUGGGUCAGCGACUUAUAUUCUGUAGCAAGGUUAACCGAAUAGGGGAGCCGAAGGGAAACCGAGUCUUAACUGGGCGUUAAGUUGCAGGGUAUAGACCCGAAACCCGGUGAUCUAGCCAUGGGCAGGUUGAAGGUUGGGUAACACUAACUGGAGGACCGAACCGACUAAUGUUGAAAAAUUAGCGGAUGACUUGUGGCUGGGGGUGAAAGGCCAAUCAAACCGGGAGAUAGCUGGUUCUCCCCGAAAGCUAUUUAGGUAGCGCCUCGUGAAUUCAUCUCCGGGGGUAGAGCACUGUUUCGGCAAGGGGGUCAUCCCGACUUACCAACCCGAUGCAAACUGCGAAUACCGGAGAAUGUUAUCACGGGAGACACACGGCGGGUGCUAACGUCCGUCGUGAAGAGGGAAACAACCCAGACCGCCAGCUAAGGUCCCAAAGUCAUGGUUAAGUGGGAAACGAUGUGGGAAGGCCCAGACAGCCAGGAUGUUGGCUUAGAAGCAGCCAUCAUUUAAAGAAAGCGUAAUAGCUCACUGGUCGAGUCGGCCUGCGCGGAAGAUGUAACGGGGCUAAACCAUGCACCGAAGCUGCGGCAGCGACACUAUGUGUUGUUGGGUAGGGGAGCGUUCUGUAAGCCUGUGAAGGUGGCCUGUGAGGGUUGCUGGAGGUAUCAGAAGUGCGAAUGCUGACAUAAGUAACGAUAAAGCGGGUGAAAAGCCCGCUCGCCGGAAGACCAAGGGUUCCUGUCCAACGUUAAUCGGGGCAGGGUGAGUCGACCCCUAAGGCGAGGCCGAAAGGCGUAGUCGAUGGGAAACAGGUUAAUAUUCCUGUACUUGGUGUUACUGCGAAGGGGGGACGGAGAAGGCUAUGUUGGCCGGGCGACGGUUGUCCCGGUUUAAGCGUGUAGGCUGGUUUUCCAGGCAAAUCCGGAAAACCAAGGCUGAGGCGUGAUGACGAGGCACUACGGUGCUGAAGUGACAAAUGCCCUGCUUCCAGGAAAAGCCUCUAAGCAUCAGGUAACAUCAAAUCGUACCCCAAACCGACACAGGUGGUCAGGUAGAGAAUACCAAGGCGCUUGAGAGAACUCGGGUGAAGGAACUAGGCAAAAUGGUGCCGUAACUUCGGGAGAAGGCACGCUGAUAUGUAGGUGAAGCGACUUGCUCGUGGAGCUGAAAUCAGUCGAAGAUACCAGCUGGCUGCAACUGUUUAUUAAAAACACAGCACUGUGCAAACACGAAAGUGGACGUAUACGGUGUGACGCCUGCCCGGUGCCGGAAGGUUAAUUGAUGGGGUUAGCGGUAACGCGAAGCUCUUGAUCGAAGCCCCGGUAAACGGCGGCCGUAACUAUAACGGUCCUAAGGUAGCGAAAUUCCUUGUCGGGUAAGUUCCGACCUGCACGAAUGGCGUAAUGAUGGCCAGGCUGUCUCCACCCGAGACUCAGUGAAAUUGAACUCGCUGUGAAGAUGCAGUGUACCCGCGGCAAGACGGAAAGACCCCGUGAACCUUUACUAUAGCUUGACACUGAACAUUGAGCCUUGAUGUGUAGGAUAGGUGGGAGGCUUUGAAGUGUGGACGCCAGUCUGCAUGGAGCCGACCUUGAAAUACCACCCUUUAAUGUUUGAUGUUCUAACGUUGGCCCGUAAUCCGGGUUGCGGACAGUGUCUGGUGGGUAGUUUGACUGGGGCGGUCUCCUCCUAAAGAGUAACGGAGGAGCACGAAGGUUGGCUAAUCCUGGUCGGACAUCAGGAGGUUAGUGCAAUGGCAUAAGCCAGCUUGACUGCGAGCGUGACGGCGCGAGCAGGUGCGAAAGCAGGUCAUAGUGAUCCGGUGGUUCUGAAUGGAAGGGCCAUCGCUCAACGGAUAAAAGGUACUCCGGGGAUAACAGGCUGAUACCGCCCAAGAGUUCAUAUCGACGGCGGUGUUUGGCACCUCGAUGUCGGCUCAUCACAUCCUGGGGCUGAAGUAGGUCCCAAGGGUAUGGCUGUUCGCCAUUUAAAGUGGUACGCGAGCUGGGUUUAGAACGUCGUGAGACAGUUCGGUCCCUAUCUGCCGUGGGCGCUGGAGAACUGAGGGGGGCUGCUCCUAGUACGAGAGGACCGGAGUGGACGCAUCACUGGUGUUCGGGUUGUCAUGCCAAUGGCACUGCCCGGUAGCUAAAUGCGGAAGAGAUAAGUGCUGAAAGCAUCUAAGCACGAAACUUGCCCCGAGAUGAGUUCUCCCUGACUCCUUGAGAGUCCUGAAGGAACGUUGAAGACGACGACGUUGAUAGGCCGGGUGUGUAAGCGCAGCGAUGCGUUGAGCUAACCGGUACUAAUGAACCGUGAGGCUUAACCUUACAACGCCGAAG
rnacentral:rRNA from 2 species